rnacentral:rRNA from 1 species
UAGGGAAUCUUCGGCAAUGGGGGCAACCCUGACCGAGCAACGCCGCGUGAGUGAAGAAGGUUUUCGGAUCGUAAAGCUCUGUUGUAAGUCAAGAACGAGUGUGAGAGUGGAAAGUUCACACUGUGACGGUAGCUUACCAGAAAGGGACGGCUAACUACGUGCCAGCAGCCGCGGUAAUACGUAGGUCCCGAGCGUUGUCCGGAUUUAUUGGGCGUAAAGCGAGCGCAGGCGGUUAGAUAAGUCUGAAGUUAAAGGCUGUGGCUUAACCAUAGUACGCCUUGGAAACUGUUUAACUUGAGUGCAAGAGGGGAGAGUGGAAUUCCAUGUGUAGCGGUGAAAUGCGUAGAUAUAUGGAGGAACACCGGUGGCGAAAGCGGCUCUCUGGCUUGUAACUGACGCUGAGGCUCGAAAGCGUGGGGAGCAAACAGGAUUAGAUACCCUGGUAGUCCACGCCGUAACGAUGAGUGCUAGGUGUUAGACCCUUUCCGGGGUUUAGUGCCGUAGCUAACGCAUUAAGCACUCCGCCUGGGGAGUACGACCGCAAGGUUG